GAUGAACGCUGGCGGCGUGCCUAAUACAUGCAAGUCGAGCGAACAGAUGAGGAGCUUGCUCCUCUGACGUUAGCGGCGGACGGGUGAGUAACACGUGGAUAACCUACCUAUAAGACUGGGAUAACUUCGGGAAACCGGAGCUAAUACCGGAUAAUAUAUUGAACCGCAUGGUUCAAUAGUGAAAGACGGUUUUGCUGUCACUUAUAGAUGGAUCCGCGCCGCAUUAGCUAGUUGGUAAGGUAACGGCUUACCAAGGCAACGAUGCGUAGCCGACCUGAGAGGGUGACCGGCCACACUGGAACUGAGACACGGUCCAGACUCCUACGGGAGGCAGCAGUAGGGAAUCUUCCGCAAUGGGCGAAAGCCUGACGGAGCAACGCCGCGUGAGUGAUGAAGGUCUUCGGAUCGUAAAACGCUGUUAUUAGGGAAGAACAAAUGUGUAAGUAACUAUGCACGUCUUGACGGUACCUAAACAGAAAGCCACGGCUAACUACGUG
rnacentral:rRNA from 1 species